AGAGUUUGAUCCUGGCUCAGAGUGAACGCUGGCGGUAGGCCUAACACAUGCAAGUCGAACGGCAGCACAGUAAGAGCUUGCUCUUACGGGUGGCGAGUGGCGGACGGGUGAGGAAUACAUCGGAAUCUACUUUUUCGUGGGGGAUAACGUAGGGAAACUUACGCUAAUACCGCAUACGACCUACGGGUGAAAGCAGGGGAUCUUCGGACCUUGCGCGAUUGAAUGAGCCGAUGUCGGAUUAGCUAGUUGGCGGGGUAAAGGCCCACCAAGGCGACGAUCCGUAGCUGGUCUGAGAGGAUGAUCAGCCACACUGGGACUGAGACACGGUCCAGACUCCUACGGGAGGCAGCAGUGGGGAAUAUUGGACAAUGGGCGCAAGCCUGAUCCAGCCAUACCGCGUGGGUGAAGAAGGCCUUCGGGUUGUAAAGCCCUUUUGUUGGGAAAGAAAUCCAGCUGGUUAAUACCCGGUUGGGAUGACGGUACCCAAAGAAUAAGCACCGGCUAACUUCGUGCCAGCAGCCGCGGUAAUACGAAGGGUGCAAGCGUUACUCGGAAUUACUGGGCGUAAAGCGUGCGUAGGUGGUUGUUUAAGUCUGUUGUGAAAGCCCUGGGCUCAACCUGGGAACUGCAGUGGAAACUGGACGACUAGAGUGUGGUAGAGGGUAGCGGAAUUCCUGGUGUAGCAGUGAAAUGCGUAGAGAUCANGAGGAACAUCCAUGGCGAAAGCAGCUACCUGGACCAACACUGACACUGAGGCACGAAAGCGUGGGGAGCAAACAGGAUUAGAUACCCUGGUAGUCCACGCCCUAAACGAUGCGAACUGGAUGUUGGU
rnacentral:rRNA from 1 species